rnacentral:rRNA from 1 species
AGUGAACGCUGGCGGUAGGCCUAACACAUGCAAGUCGAACGGCAGCACAGUAAGAGCUUGCUCUUACGGGUAGCGAGUGGCGGACGGGUGAGGAAUACAUCGGAAUCUACUUUUUCGUGGGGGAUAACGUAGGGAAACUUACGCUAAUACCGCAUACGACCUACGGGUGAAAGCAGGGGAUCUUCGGACCUUGCGCGAUUGAAUGAGCCGAUGUCGGAUUAGCUAGUUGGCGGGGUAAAGGCCCACCAAGGCGACGAUCCGUAGCUGGUCUGAGAGGAUGAUCAGCCACACUGGAACUGAGACACGGUCCAGACUCCUGCGGGAGGCAGCAGUGGGGAAUAUUGGACAAUGGGCGCAAGCCUGAUCCAGCCAUACCGCGUGGGUGAAGAAGGCCUUCGGGUUGUAAAGCCCUUUUGUUGGGAAAGAAAAGCAGCAGGUUAAUACCCCGCUGUUCUGACGGUACCCAAAGAAUAAGCACCGGCUAACUUCGUG